GACGAACGCUGGCGGCGUGCUUAACACAUGCAAGUCGAGCGGUAAGGCCCUUUCGGGGGUACACGAGCGGCGAACGGGUGAGUAACACGUGGGUGACCUGCCCUCAGCUCUGGGAUAAGCCCGGGAAACUGGGUCUAAUACCGGAUAUGACUCCAUGACGCAUGUUGUGGGGUGGAAAGCCUUGUGCGGCUGAGGAUGGGCCCGCGGCCUAUCAGCUUGUUGGUGGGGUGAUGGCCUACCAAGGCGACGACGGGUAGCCGGCCUGAGAGGGCGACCGGCCACACUGGGACUGAGACACGGCCCAGACUCCUACGGGAGGCAGCAGUGGGGAAUUUUGGACAAUGGGCGCAAGCCUGAUCCAGCCAUGCCGCGUGACGGGAAGAAGGCCUU
rnacentral:rRNA from 1 species